rnacentral:rRNA from 1 species
GAUGAACGCUGGCGGCGUGCCUAAUACAUGCAAGUCGAGCGAACGGACGAGAAGCUUGCUUCUCUGAUGUUAGCGGCGGACGGGUGAGUAACACGUGGAUAACUUACCUAUAAGACUGGGAUAACUUCGGGAAACCGGAGCUAAUACCGGAUAAUAUUUUGAACCGCGUGGUUCAAAAGUGAAAGACGGUCUUGCUGUCACUUAUAGAUGGAUCCGCGCUGCAUUAGCUAGUUGGUAAGGUAACGGCUUACCAAGGCAACGAUGCAUAGCCGACCUGAGAGGGUGAUCGGCCACACUGGAACUGAGACACGGUCCAGACUCCUACGGGAGGCAGCAGUAGGGAAUCUUCCGCAAUGGGCGAAAGCCUGACGGAGCAACGCCGCGUGAGUGAUGAAGGUCUUCGGAUCGUAAAACUCUGUUAUUAGGGAAGAACAUAUGUGUAAGUAACUGUGCACAUCUCGACGGUACCUAAUCAGAAAGCCACGGCUAACUACGUG